rnacentral:rRNA from 1 species
UACGGAGGGGGCUAGCGUUGUUCGGAAUUACUGGGCGUAAAGCGUACGUAGGCGGCUUUGUAAGUUAGAGGUGAAAGCCCGGGGCUCAACUCCGGAAUUGCCUUUAAGACUGCAUCGCUUGAAUCAUGGAGAGGUGAGUGGAAUUCCGAGUGUAGAGGUGAAAUGCGUAGAUAUUGGGAGGAACACCGGUGGCGAAGGCGGCCACCUGGACGGAUACUGACGCUGAGACGCGAAAGCGUGGGGAGCAAACAGG